UCCCUUACACCCCACCUUCUCCAGCUGCCCCACAGUAGUUAGGUCUGGUCCCCCACACCCACACCUGUUACAGCUCCCCCAAAGCUGCUAGAUCUAGUUCCUCACACCCCUACCUGCUCCAGCUGCCCCCAAGUAGCUAGGUCUGGUCCCUUACACCCCUACCUGUUCCAGCUUCCCCUAAGCUGCUAGAUCUGGCUUUUCACACCCCUGCCUGCUCCAGCUUCCCCACAGUAGCUAGGUCUGGUCCCUUGCACCCCUACCUGUUCCAGCUUCCCCUAAGCUGCUCCAGUUGCCCUACAGUAGCCAGGUCUGGUCCCUCACACCCCCACCUGCUCCAGCUCCCCCACAGUAGCUAGGUCUGGUCCCUCACACCUCCACCUGCCCCAGCUCCCCUACAGUAGCUAGGUCUGGUUCCUCGUACCCCCACCUGCUUCAGCUGUUUCAUAACAUCUAGGUCUGGCCAAUCACACCCUCACUUGCCCCAGCCUGUGCACAGUAGCUAGGGCUGGUCCCUCCCACCUCCACCUACCCCAGCUUCCCCAUAGCAGGUCUAGUCCCUCACACUCCUACCUGCCCCAGAUACCCUGCAGUAGCUAGGUCUGGUCCUUCAUACCCCCACCUUCCCAAUCUCCCCUACAGUUGUUUGAUCUGGUUCCUGCAAUUCUUGGGAUUACUUAGCCCCCUCCUCUAUUUCUGACAUCCUGCAAUUGCUAAGCUUGGCUCCCUCUACUCCUCCACUAACCUCAGCUUUCCAGUAGCUGUUUAGCCUGCUGGCCUCUCCCCUGCUACCAGCUCCAGUUCCUCGGUAGCUGCUUAGUCCGGUGCCCUACACUCCCACUUGCCCCAGCUCCCUAUAGCUGCCUAGCCUUGUCCCCACAGCUUCUGGAUCUACCCUGCUCUUAUUUUGCCAGUCCCAGGUGGCACCCUGUAGCUGUUUAUCCUGAUAUCCCACUCCUCUACUUGCUCCAUCCUUCCAUACUCCCACCAGCUACCUCAUAGCUACCAUCCUUGAUUGCCCUGUAGCUGCCCAGCCUGGUCCCACAACUCCUGGGGUUGCCUUGUUCAGCUUUCAACUACUUUAGACCUCCUGUAGUUGCUCAUCUGGGUCCCCUUUACACCAAUGUUAUUCACUAUACUCUCCUUUUUAACUGUUUGGCUUGGUCUCCAUAGCUACUGGGGUUACCCUGGACCCCAGUCCUUUCAUUUUCUGCAGCCCUUCAGUUACUGCUCUGCCCUGGUCUUGAGCUACUUGGCAAUCCUGAGCCCCCAGUACUCUUGCUCCAUUCCUUCUAUGGCUGGACAAUUUGGUCCUCACAUCUCCAGCCCCCUCCAGUUAUGCAACCCUCCCCAGCUCCCUUGUAGCUGCCUUGACGGGUCCCCUAAGCUCCUAGUAUGGCUCUGGUACCCAAAUUCCAGCAAUUGUCACAGUAUCCUAUAGAUGCUCAGUCUGCCCUCCCAACUCUACCUGCUCUGAGCCUCCUGCAAAGCUUUUCCUGGUCCCUGGGGUUGCUCUGGAUGCCCAUUAACCUCACUUGACACAGCUCCCAACCCUUCUGUAGCUCCUUACCUUGAUUCCCAUAUCUCCCCUACACCCAUCUCACCUAUAGCCGCUUGACUUGGUCUUCUCGACUCCCACCAGUCCCAGAUUCCCUGUAACUGCUCUGCCAGGUCCUCUGAGCACUUGGAGCUAUCAUGGCUCUUCAUUUGUCUCACCCUCCAGAGCUUGCUUGAAGCUAUACUGCCUAGUCCCUGAGUUCCUCUGGCAGGCUUCCUCUCUGGUCCCUGGGCUCCUCUGGCAGGCUUCCUCCCUGGUCCCUGAGUUCCUCUGGCAGGCUUCCUCCCUGGUCCCUGGGCUCCUCUGGCAGGCUUCCUCCUUGGUCCCUGAGUUCCUCUGGCAGGCUUCCUCCCUGGUCCCUGGUCUCCUCUGGCAGGCUUCCUCCUGCCCAACUUACCUUCUUUCGUCUUCACUCCUGGAAUCUGCUUUCCAAUGAUGGGCUUGAUUCCUGCACCCUAGUGCAUCCACUCUUACUCUAUCUCUCUCCAACAGGCACAUCCGCCUUCCCAGACGAGCCCUAUGGACACCCCAUACCUCCCCAUUCCCUCUUUACCACCUCUCUGCCCUCCCAUUGCUGCCCUGGCUCCAUCAGCCUUCAGGUCUGGUCAAGUCCAUCCCCCAGGUUUCUGGGUCUAUCCCAUCAACUCCCUGAGGCAUACUCUGGUGGUCUGUGGGUGUGCACAGCUUUCAUGGUCUGUGCUUCUGUCCAUGGAAUCCCCGGAGACUGUCUGGUUGACACGGGCCUGCAGACAGACACCUUCCUUUUGCUACAGAUGGGCUGCUCUGUCGACUCCUUUCCAUCCUCCUGUGAUCUGCUGUCUGCUAGGCUGUGGCUUUCUCCAGCUCUAGCCUUCUCUGGUCAUCACAUUCACAUGUGGGGACUCGCCAAGAUGACUGCUACGCUUCUUGCUUUGGGUCUGGGUUACUAGCAGCCCAGCUCUGAGCUCUGUCUUCUUCCAGGAUUCACAGUCCUUGACCCAGAAGUGUGAAUGCCACGCUUCUCCCAACCCAGUACAGACUAAGAACAGGAUUGAAACCGGGUGACACGGGACGCUUCCUGAAGUUCCUCUUUCUUCUGGUGGUUUCAGUGUUUGGGGUAGGGGGAGACAAGGGGGAGUCCAGAUAUGGUCUAGGUUACCUCAUGUAGGGGCAGGUGAGGUGAUACUCUUGAGGCCUGUAGAAGGUGUGAAGCCCGGCUGUCACAACCUAGAGUUCCUGGGUUGGCUGGGGCUGAGUGAUUAUGUCCACUCUCUUCUGAUCACCUCACUGGAGGUCUUUCACUCAGCCUAGGUGGGAAUCUCUGCCGUUCCCUCUCUCCAGGAGAUCCCAAAAGUAUCUGUGUCUCAGGGAGGAAAACAAAGACCGGAGUGGGAGGGCAGAGUGCAGAUCAGAUGGGGAAGGGAAAGGGCUCAGGCCUCUGGCUGUGCUUACAAGCAGAGGAUUUUGUGGCCACACAGAGAAGCACGGCGAAGGUCCAGAACUGGCUCUCGGCUAAACUAAGAGAGCGGGAGGGGUCUCUGGGGCUGGAGCUCCACGGGUUUCAUUUCGGGGUCAUGGACCAGAAUUCUGAUUCUGGCGUCUCACAGGAAACAGGGAACAAGAGGAGUACUCAGGACAGUUAACCCUAUAUUGGGAAGAAGAGAGCCCAUGGGGAUCAGAGUAGAUGCUGCCAGGGUAAGGGUUUGGGGGUACAGCAAGGCUCUGGGACUAAGAAUAGGGGACAACGUUAGAGGGAAUAGAGACUGGUCAGGCUCAUGAAGAGUUGGGGUACAUUCCAUACUAGAGGACACAGGGCUGAACGGAGAAAAGGGCUUCUCUAGGCAUGCUCACUCAUUCCUCUUUUUUUUUUUUUCAGUCAGAACUAUGGCCCUGUCCAUCUACUCCCCGGUUCCUAUGGUGACCUGGGUUGUUUGGUCAAGAGCUACUUCCCUGAGCCAGUAACCGUGCCUUGGAAUUCUGGAGCCCUGUCUAGUGAGCUGGAACUGGACGACAGCUGUGCUGAGGCCCAGGACGGGGAGCUGGACGAUCAUCAGCGUCUUCAUCACCUUCUUCUGCUCAGCGUGUGCUACAGUGCCACCAUCACACUCUUCAAGAUCAGCUACUUUAUCCCUGCACUGCUUCCCAUCGGUCCCACACUGUUCCAUCCAUCUCACCCAAUGUCCCCUGGUGUCCAUUGCUGUGUAUCCUGCUGCCCCCACCAUGUCCUCACAGAUCCCACACCAGCCUCAUGCCAUCAUAACAUGGUCAUCAUGCUGUU